rnacentral:ncRNA from 1 species
CUCCGAAAGGGCAAAGCCAGGGUGACCUGGCGACGCAAAGCCGCGAGACCACAUGUGUGGUUAGUCGGGCUGCCGAAG